rnacentral:rRNA from 1 species
AGUGAACGCUGGCGGUAGGCCUAACACAUGCAAGUCGAACGGCAGCACAGUAAGAGCUUGCUCUUACGGGUGGCGAGUGGCGGACGGGUGAGGAAUACAUCGGAAUCUACUUUUUCGUGGGGGAUAACGUAGGGAAACUUACGCUAAUACCGCAUACGACCUACGGGUGAAAGCAGGGGAUCUUCGGACCUUGCGCGAUUGAAUGAGCCGAUGUCGGAUUAGCUAGUUGGCGGGGUAAAGGCCCACCAAGGCGACGAUCCGUAGCUGGUCUGAGAGGAUGAUCAGCCACACUGGAACUGAGACACGGUCCAGACUCCUACGGGAGGCAGCAGUGGGGAAUAUUGGACAAUGGGCGCAAGCCUGAUCCAGCCAUACCGCGUGGGUGAAGAAGGCCCUCGGGUUGUAAAGCCCUUUUGUUGGGAAAGAAAAGCAGCAGGUUAAUACCCCGCUGUUCUGACGGUACCCAAAGAAUAAGCACCGGCUAACUUCGU